rnacentral:rRNA from 1 species
UACGGGGGGGGCAAGCGUUGUUCGGAAUUACUGGGCGUAAAGGGCUCGUAGGCGGCCAACUAAGUCCGACGUGAAAUCCCCAGGCUUAACCUGGGAACUGCGUCAGAUACUGGAUGGCUUGAAUUCGGGAGAGGGAAGCGGAAUUUCCGGUGUAGCGGUGAAAUGCGUAGAUAUCGGAAGGAACACCAGUGGCGAAAGCGGCUUCCUGGUCCAGCACCGACGUUCAGGCACGAAAGCGUGGGGAGCAAACAGG